rnacentral:rRNA from 1 species
AUGUGGUCAUCUUACCCAAUUGAAAAGCAAGCCUACAAUUCAUACACUAGAGACUUGUACGAGAAAUUCCGCGAUGAAUUUCAGUUGACUACAAGGUACAACGUGCGACCCCACGGUGAACACUUGUAUGAGCUUUACCCCAAUCAAGAAUGGGUUGCUAAGUAUGGUUCUAGGAGCUAUUUUGUGACUGUUGAAACUAGUGCUGGAGACUACAGAUGUGAGUGUUGCAAGUUUCAUAGGGAUGGGAUGCUUUGCUGCCAUAUAUUGAAGGUUUUCAACCAUCUUGGGGUUGAUGAAAUCCCAACGCAGUACAUCAAAAGAAGAUGGACACCUCUAGCAAUCACGGAUGCACCGCCUGCUGUUGAGGAUAAGUCUGAUGAGUUGCCGGAACAAUCGAAGAAAGAACUCCGUCAUGCAAACUUGAUGAUGGACUUUGGUGGACUUGCUAAGGUUGCUAGUGCAUCGGAUGCUGCGACAAAUAUUGUAAAGAAGCAUAUGCGUGGAGCGCGUCAC